UGGGACAGGGAACCUAGGAUUCGCCUAUGCUGGAACCCUCUGAGGCCCAUGCAGUCAGGAGAGUCCAAUGGAGGUCCAGCCACUUCUCCCAGAUGAGGCCUCACUUUGUCACCCAGAUUGGGGUGGAGUGGCACAGUCACAGCUCACUAUAACCUCAAACUCCUGGGCUCAAGUGAUCCUGCCACCUCAGCCUCCUAAGUAGCUGGGACUACAGGUGUGCACCACAAUGCCAGGCUUGUCUAACAUUUUUGUGUGUUGCUUCAUCCAGUUUGCUAGAGUUUUUGGAGAUUUCUGUCUUUAUUCAUGAGAGAUAAUAGUCUGCACAUUUAUUUUCUUGUGAUGCUUUCAUCUAAUUUGUUAUCCGGGUAAUACUGGCCUCAGAAAUGAAUUGAUGUUUUCCUGCUUCUCUGUUUUGCAAGUGUUUGUGAAGGAUUGAUUAUUCAUGAAGUGUUUAAUAGAAUUCACUAGUAAAGCUAUGUGAGCCUGGGCUAGACUGAUGAAGAGUUUUCACUAGUCUAAUCUAUUUUCUUGUUGUAUGAGUAUGCAUAUAUUCGAUUUCUUCUUGAGUUUACUUUUACAAUUUGUGUAUAGCAGGGAAUUUGUUUCUAAUUUGUAGUGUUUCAUGCUUCUAGGUUUUCAUGGCAGUUGAGAUGUAAGAAUAAAUAUAAUGUUGGGCGAAAGAAGUUGUGGACAAUCCGUAAAUAUCCCAACAUCUCUUGCAGGAA
rnacentral:lncRNA from 1 species